CCUACGGGCGGCAGCAGUGGGGAAUAUUGCACAAUGGGCGCAAGCCUGAUGCAGCCAUGCCGCGUGUGUGAAGAAGGCCUUCGGGUUGUAAAGCACUUUCAGCGGGGAGGAAGGCGUUAAGGUUAAUAACCUUGGCGAUUGACGUUACCCGCAGAAGAAGCACCGGCUAACUACGUGCCAGCAGCCGCGGUAAUACGGAGGGUGCAAGCGUUAAUCGGAAUUACUGGGCGUAAAGCGCACGCAGGCGGUUUGUCAAGUCGGAUGUGAAAUCCCCGGGCUCAACCGGGGAACUGCAUUGGAAACUGGGAGGCUAGAGUCUUGUAGAGGGGGGUAGAAUUCCAGGUGUAGCGGUGAAAUGCGUAGAGAUCUGGAGGAAUACCGGUGGCGAAGGCGGCCCCCUGGACAAAGACUGACGCUCAGGUGCGAAAGCGUGGGGAGCAAACAGGAUUAGAUACCCUAGUAGUC
rnacentral:rRNA from 1 species